GACAGAGGUGUCGAGCGUUAGGCGGAAUCACUGGGCUUAAAGCGUGUGUAGGCGGGUCGUUAAGUGUCUUGUGAAAUCCCACCGCUCAACGGUGGAACUGCUGGGCAUACUGGCGAUCUUGAGCCACCUAGGGGCAGACGGAACAAGCGGUGGAGCGGUGAAAUGCGUUGAUAUCCAGCGGAACUCCGGUGGCGAAGGCGGCUCGCUGGACCUUAACUGACGCUGAGGCGCGAAAGCCGGGGAGCGAACGGG
rnacentral:rRNA from 1 species